GAUGAACGCUGGCGGCGUGCCUAAUACAUGCAAGUCGAGCGAACGGACGAGAAGCUUGCUUCUCUGAUGUUAGCGGCGGACGGGUGAGUAACACGUGGAUAACCUACCUAUAAGACUGGGAUAACUUCGGGAAACCGGAGCUAAUACCGGAUAAUAUUUUGAACCGCAUGGUUCAAAAGUGAAAGACGGUCUUGCUGUCACUUAUAGAUGGAUCCGCGCUGCAUUAGCUAGUUGGUAAGGUAACGGCUUACCAAGGCAACGAUGCAUAGCCGACCUGAGAGGGUGAUCGGCCACCCUGGAACUGAGACACGGUCCAGACUCCUACGGGAGGCAGCAGUAGGGAAUGUUCCGCAAUGGGCGAAAGCCUGACGGAGCAACGCCGCGUGAGUGAUGAAGGUCUUCGGAUCGUAAAACUCUGUUAUUAGUGAAGAACAUAUGUGUAAGUAACUGUGCACAUCUUGACGGUACCUAAUCAGAAAGCCACGGCUAACUACGUG
rnacentral:rRNA from 1 species